rnacentral:tRNA from 1 species
GCCGGGAUGGCGAAAUCGGGAUACGCGAUGGCUUCAAAAUCCAUUGUCCGAAAGGACGUGCGGGUUCGAAUCCCGCUCCCGGCA